UGCACCUCCAUCUUCCCAGAGUCUCGUGGGAAACAGAUUUCAAACAACAACAGACAGCAAGACUGAGAAACUACGAAAGAUCAGCCUGGCAGUAUCCUCAGUGCUAAAGCAGCGCUGGGCGUAGUAAGUGCUCAGUGAAGAUCUGUUGAAUGAGUGAAUGAAGGAAGGGAGGAAGGAAUGAUGGUGGGUAAAUCGGCGAGUGUGUGGCCUACACAGGACAUUAGCUUGAGCACCAGAGAGCAGACCAAGGCAGGUCCUUGGUUCCUGUGCCGACCUGCAUUGCGGAGGACUGCGGGGUCUUGGUAGAUGAAGCCUGGCCUGGGUCUUUCAGGGCCCUCUGGCUGGGGCCAGGAGGCACAGCUGCAGUGGACACUUUCAAACUCAUCGUGCCUGGCCUUGGCACUCGGUGGGCUCAUUUCUGGUCAUAAUGACACCUUUCUAAACAUAGCUACACAAAAUUAAAAUGUCACAGUGCAAAUGCUGCAGCUGUGUGGUACUAGAAAGAACACUAGGUCUUGAGUCAGAAGAGAUGGACUCAAAUCCCAAAUAUCAAGCCAUCUCUCUCCUGGGUGUGACCUUGCACUUCUCUGAGCUUCAGUUUCUUCAUCUGCAAGAUGGGAAUGGUACCAGUAGCUGUGUCACAGACUGUUGUGAAGGCCGAGGAAUUAAGCACGGCGAGAGAUUUUUGGAAGCUGCAAAGCAUCACACAUUGGACAUGACUUUUACACAUAAAUAUGUAAAAAUGGUCUCCUGACUGCGUCCUUGGCUUCCUGGCCUGCCACAUGGAAUGAGGGCAGGGCCUCCCUCUCAGCACAGACUGGUCUCCUCCACCAGCCCAGCCUCCCCUUGUCACAGUGAGAAGGAGCCAUUGACCCACUCAGAAGCCACUCACUUCUCUCUUACAUGGGGAAAUCAGCAAACCACAACCAUUUAUGAAUCCUGCAUGUUCCCCUGGUCUUGUCCAACUGUAUCUGCUACCAUUCCUGAGUGGAAGUUAAAAAAAAAAAAAAAAAAAGGCAGAGCAAGUUGAAGAUGGGAAAGAGGUGACCUAAGGUGACAAAGAGUCAAUGUAGAAGGCAGAUAUGUCUCAUCCUCGCAGUGACUAAGAUUAAUGGGCAUGGAGUGUCAGGAGCCCUGCCUUAGGAAGAACUCUGAGACUGGCUCCAGAAUUCUGUAAAUCCAAUCAAGAGUGUUGCAAUCAGUUAGCAAUGUCUGCCUCAGGCAAGGGAGAAGAAACUAUGGUCUGUAUGUCAUAUCUAAUAUUCUCCCUUAUAUCUAAGGUACCCUCUGCUGUGAGACAUGCAAUCAACCCGAUGAAGCUUUUUAGGAAAAAGUCUAUUGUUACAUCAAGUUUAACGUAAAGCUGCCUCCUUACAUAUUUUAAGGUCAGCCUAAAGGUUUCUCUGCACAUCGUGAACUAUAGCAAGUAGAGAUGUAAACAGACUGUAGCCUACACUUGUGCCGAUCAAUGAGUUUUGGCCAAUCAAAUGUGGCCAACUGUUUGAACCAUGUUCAAACAGGGCAAAUGCUGAGCUAUAACCAACCCAGCUGUUUCUGUCCCUCACUUCUGUUCUCUGUGCAUCACUUUCCUUUUUCUGUCCAUAAAUCUUUUUCCACCACGUGGCUGCGCUGGAGUCUCUGAGUCUACUCUGGCUCAGGAGGCUGCCCAAUUCAAAAUCAUUCAUUGCUCAAUUAAACUCUUUCAAAUUUAAUUCUGCUGAAGUUUUUCUUUUAUCACUCUAUUAAUGCUAGAUGUUGACUAUUGAAUGGAUCCAAGUUUCAGGAACUUACAAAAUGUGUGUGUGUUUGAAAGAAGGAAAUCAUUACUUGCUAUCCCUUCUCUAUCAAAAUCUACUUGAGCUUUUCAACUAAAAAUUCAAUGCGUAUUCUUUGGGGUAUAAAUAAAUGUGCUGAAUCUACCUGGGCUUUUCCCACUCUGUGGCUUCUUGUUUCUAUGUGUGAUGCGAAAAGGAAGCUGUGGAAAUGGGGAGGAGAUUCUUCCAGGUGUUGGGAAGGCUUCCAAUGCCCAGCAUGUAGUAGGUGCUCAGCAAAUGUUUGUUGAAUGAAUUUUCAAUGAUGACCUCAGUUUCUGCAUAACUUUUCAUGAUUCAUAAAUGCUGUUACCUUAGCUAAGUUUAAAUGUAGUAUUUUAUCUCCUGUCAUAUAUAUUUUUCUCUCUUUUUCUGUGAGUAGACGCCAUGAUAAUCAAUCGGGAUAACCCACGAGGACGUUGUUUCAUUCUUUCUGAGUGAGGGGAUGGGGCUGAUAGAGGAAGCCGGGGAGGGGUUUGCCUGCUGAUUUCUUCCUGCUUUUGUGUUUGUGUUUGCCGUCUGCCUGUCCCUCACAUUUCCCUCAGUGUGUUCCUAUCCUUGGAUCCCUAAUCCUACAGCCCAGGACUUUCUACAACGGUACUACUGACAUUUUGGAUGGGAUAAUUCUUUGCUGUGGGGGGACUCUCCUGUGUGCUGUGACAUUUAGCAAUAUCCCUGGCCUCUACCUACUGGAUACCAGAGGCACCCCCCACCCCCAGCCGUGACAACUAAAAAUGUCUCAAGACACACCACCCAGGUGAGAACCACUGCUUAGCCUCCCCGGGGAACAUGGCUGGUUCCUUCUUUCUGAACAGUUUCAGAAGGAACAUCAAGUCUGCAACAAGUCUUCUGACUUCAUGGUCCACACCAGUGUCAGGCCCACCGUCCUAUCAACCCUCCAGGCUCAUGUCUCCAAGGAGCUCUCUGAUCAUUCCCUGGUGUCUCUCUCGUUUGCUGUCUGCCCCUCUCCCCUGGGCUAUGAGCGCCACAGGAGUUUUUUCUAUUUUGAUUAUCUCUCUAUCCCUGGGGCCCAGAAGUCCCUGGCACUCAAUAGGUUCUCCAGUGGAUAAAGGUGAGGACGAGGUGACUGGGGGAGCCUCCCUGUGGAGUGACGUCUCCAUGCCAUGAAAUUGCCAGCCCUGGGAAGUCAUGAGGAAGAACACUCCAGGCAGAGGGCACAGUCACCGCACAGCUCUCAGGCAGGAACAGGUUUGCCUUGUGGAAGGCUGCUGGGGAGGAGAGGGGAGCGGGAUUGGAGAAGGGUGCUCCAAGAGCCAGAAAAGCUAGUCAGGAGGCCACAGUGAGGGGUGCAAACUCAGUUCCAGGAGUGACAACAAGCCCUCUGGAAACCUCCCAGAUGUCCCAAGGUCCACCCCUGGCCCACUCUCACUCUCCUCUCUCCUUGUCGCCCAGCCUCACUCUGGGAAGGCUGGGGAGGAUUCCUAAAUCUGGUCUGAACUCCUGAGGCUGAAGCCAGAGCUGGUGUGGCCCCCAAGUCAUAUCUCAGGGUGGGAGAGAGUCCUUCCAUCAAGGAGGCAACGCUAUGAGGGCAGCUCAGUGCUCAGCCCACCCCUCUAACCCUCAUGGGCGGGCCCUCAAUCAGAAACCACAAAUUCCAGGCUCAGUCAGGGAAGGCCUGGAUCCUCCACUUCCGGCUCCUCCCGGAAGUCAGCUUAAAGAAAUGAUGCGGAGGAAUGAUCACUGAAGAGACUCGUCAUUCCUGGUCAAACCAUGCUGGAGGUCAGGGGUUUGUUAACUCAGCCUUGUCACAGGGGCCUUCCCUUCCACCUCAAUGCUACGACAGAGCUGGUGUUGAAGGUCUUUGACGAAAAAGCUACAUUUCUGCAUUUAAAAUGGAGAAGAUCAGGCCACUCAGUAUCUCCGGUGUAAGAAGACAUUUGGCAAUAGUAACAGCUAAUUUUUUUUAAUACUUACCGUAACUCAUUUUACCCAUUUCCUGCCUAGAAAAAAAAAAAGUGCAGCUCACUGCCAGCACUCAUUUCUUGGGGCAAACAGGAAAUAAGUUAAUCUUAACAACAACCCUGUAAGGUGCAUAGUUUUAUUAUCAUCCCCAUUUUACAGAUGGGGAAACUGAGGCAGUGAAGUUUAGUAAUUUUCCCAGAUUCACUAAAAUUUCUAAGAUAUGUUUAACAAAGAAAUCCACCCUUUAACUCUUAAAUAAUAUCCUCUUUUUAAAAUUAAUGCUAGAAUAUGGUGCAAUAUCUUUUUAAUUGAGUGUAUCUUUUGCCCCAGCAAUUCUACCACUAGGAACUGAGCCUAAGGAGGUAUAAAUAUUUAGUUAGAAGGAUGCAGUAUUAUUUAGUAUGUGGAACUCAAUGAGAAUCUCCACUAAGAGGGGUUAUUUAAAUAAACUGUGAUGCCUCCAUAUAAAUGUAGCUGUUCAAAAUGACAUCUGUUUGUAUGUACCAACAUAAAAAGACAUCUAAAUCAUAUAUUUUAACAGAAAAGUCCAGAAUAAUCACAUUUUUGUAAGCAGUCAUUUUGUCUGAGGACUGGGAUUUCUAUUGACUUUUAAUUUCUUAUUUUCACGUGUCUAUAGUCUCUAAUUUUUCUACAAUGAACAUGUACUACAUUUAUAAUAAGAAAGAAACUCAAUAAAAGUUAUUGAGUAAAAGAAUAAGCAGCCAGAAAUCUGUCUCUUCUGGGGAAUUAGUGAGCCUCUUCCUCCCUGAGAGUAGACGCUAUGGCUGCUUUGCUGGAACCUUCCAUUUGUCCCAAAUGCUCCACUCUCUGCCAAUGGGAGACGGGGUCUAUAUUCACCUGGUCCCUUCUGCGUGAGGCCACCUUGGCAGAAGUCACUGCCCCUCCCAAGGCAUCUGACCCUGCAAAACCCUCUUGUCGUCUGGGUUCUGGUAAACUCCCCAUUCCCUGUUUUUUUUGUGGGUAUACAGAUAGUAAAAGCUCUGCUGCCCUGGCCCUG
rnacentral:lncRNA from 1 species